CACGUAGUUAGCCGGUGCUUCCUCACAGGGUACCGUCAUUAUCUUCCCCUGCAACAGAACUUUACGAUCCGAAGACCUUCAUCGUUCACGCGGCGUUGCUGCAUCAGGCUUUCGCCCAUUGUGCAAUAUCCCCCACUGCUGCCUCCCGUAGGAGUUUGGACCGUGUCUCAGUUCCAAUGUGGCCGAUCACCCUCUCAGGUCGGCUACUGAUCGUCGCCUUGGUGGACCGUUACUCCACCAACUAGCUAAUCAGACGCGGGUCCAUCCUGUACCGCUAACGCUUUGAUACAUCGAAGAUGCCUUCAAUGUACGUUAUUAUGUAUUAGUAUGCUUUUCAGCAUGUUAUCCAUAUGUACAGGGCAGGUUACCCACGCGUUACUCACCCGUCCGCCGCUCAGUCGUCUUCGGUGCAAGCACCAAAGGGACCGCGCUCGACUUGCAUGUGUUAGGCACGCCGCCAGCGUUCAUCCUCGAGCCACGGAGU
rnacentral:rRNA from 1 species